AACGCACAUUGCGCCCCUUGGUAUUCCGGGGGGCAUGCCUGUUCGAGCGUCAUUAUCACCCCUCAAGCUCAGCUUGGUGUUGGGGCCUGCCCGUCACAGGGCAGCCCCUAAAAGCAGUGGCGGUGCCAUCUGGCUCUACGCGUAGUAAUACUUCUCGCGACAGAGUCCCGGUGGUGUCCUGCCAGAACCCCAAAUUUUAUCACGAUUGACCUCGGAUCAGGUAGGGAUACCCGCUGAACUUAA
rnacentral:misc_RNA from 1 species